UUACCACAUGUUGAAGCAGGACUUUCGGCUGUUUGUUCCAGACCAGGACUCUGUCCGAGGAGAGUUGAUGGUUGAGCUGAGACGCUGGAGGACGACUAGGAAUCGACCAACAAGGAUUCCUCAACGUGUUUCUGGAGCGGAGGCGAGCUGGCAGGGGAGCCGUGAAUCUGGAGGAUGACCAUCGCUCUACCAACAUGGAUUACGUUGGGGCCAGACUUGUGCUGUUUGUUCCUGACCAGGCCUCUGAGGAGAGCUGAUGGAGGAGCCAAGACUCUGGAGGACGACAUCACUCUACCAACAAGGAUCC